CUGGAAAAGCCUGGCAGGCAUCCCUGAGAGCCCGGAUGAUGGUAGCUGCUCCCAUCCACCUGGUGGGAGGAGAAGGAAAACCUCAUCCCCAGGAGCAGCCUGAUGUGCAGGGUAUAUUCGAUGCUCCCAUGUGAAGAUGGCUGAUGUUAUCACACCUUGAUGUCUGUUUUCAUGUUCCUGCUGAGGGCUUCACAGAAGACGCUUGGAGAAGCAUGUACAGACAUACAUGCUAUGACAUAAGGCUGAGACAGAGAGGUGUGUCCCAGUUUUAACCAACCGCUUGACUCGACGAAUCAGAGUCCUAGUUGCUCCACAGAGAGACCCGAUGUGAGAAACUAUAAAGAGAAACUCAUUUGUUGUUUCUUCGCAACCUUCUGUGAACAAUUAGAAGACACACACACACACACACACACAUGCACACGCACACACAACAGGCACCCCAGUUGUUUCAAUAUGUCGGUUACUACAUAAGUGUGUCAGUUGAUGACUGGGAUCAGGGAAGAAUAAAUUAGACUAUAAACAACCUCUGCUUC
rnacentral:lncRNA from 1 species